GCAAGGGGGUGUGCGGGGCUGUAACGGGGGCUGAGAGUCGGUGAAGGGUUUGGAGGGGAAGCCGUGUGAGGAGCGGCUGAAGUCACUUGGUUUGUUCAGCCUGGCAAAGAAGAGACUGAGGGGAGAGCUCAUGGCGCCUACAGCUUCCUCACAAGGGGAGGAGGAGGGGCAGGCGCUCAGCUCUUCACUCUGGUGACCGGUGGCAGAAUCUGAGGGAAUGGCAGGAAGAUGUGCCAGGGGAGAUUUAGGUUGGACAUGAGAAAAAGGUUCUUCCCCCAGAGGGUGCUGGACACUGAACAGGCUCCCCAGGGAGGUGUCACGGCCCCAAGCCUGACAGUGUUCAAGAAGAGACUGGACAACGUCCUCAGACACACGAUGUGAACUGUGGGGUUGUCCUGUGCAGGGACAGGAGUUGGACUUGAUGAUCCUUGUGGGAUCCUGCUCAGGACAUUGUGUGAUUCUGUGAGGGGUGAGGAGUGUAUGUGGGGAGGUGUGUGUGGGGGAGAUGAGGAGGUGUUGGGGUCUCUCACCCACAGAUUCAGCUGGGGAACGGGGAUGCCCCAUGGGGCUGGCAGUGUUUUGGGGAUUUUCCUGCCUGAGGGCAGCAGGGGCUGGGCUGGAGGUGUGUGGGGCUGUUCUGUCACAGUGAGUGGGUGACCCCAGCCCAGAUUUAGACUGUUUAGGUACCUGGUUUUAAAUGCUGGUGUAGUCACCAGAGGAAAAUGGGCAGUCCUCACUUCCUAUCAACUAUUAGUAAUUAGAGCAGCCAACUCAAGUCCUACUGUGUUCCUUCCUCUCAGAACAUGGGCCUAGUACGUAGUCUGGGUCAGUUGCUGUUGACACUGCAGAUGCCUGCAUUUAGAUUAAUUUAACUUGCAUGCAGGGUGGGCCCAUCAGGGGAAAAAAGGCAGUCGAAAAGCAGGAGGCUGUGGUCCAUAAAACUGGUGUGGAACCACACAGGAGCCAGGUCAAAGGGAAGGCUGUGGUUUGUCGUGCAGGACGGAGUAGAGCAGAACUUCUCAUCUGGCACUGUGCGGGUUCAAGGAGAGUCUGGAGAAGUUCAGAAGACAAGUCUGGUGAUAGUUACUACUUCCUUGUAAAACACGUCUGCUUUGUUAAGUCCUUCAGAUGAACUUGUCACAAGCUGCAGGAUCUUCUGGCCGUUUCUGAGCAUGGGGCUUGAGUUACGAAGUUUGACAUGGUGCUGCAGCUUCGUAGACGCUCAGAACUGAGAGCUGCCUGAACAACUGGGCACAGCAUUGCGUCACCCCGUGACUUACACACAUGGGAAAGAACUUGGAGAGCUCUUGAAGCAGCUGCCUACAGCCCAGGUGGGGGAUGAUGCCAUUUGGCCUAUCAUGGGGUAUUUUGUUGGAGACUUAAAGAGCAGGAGCUGUAAUUCAGCAGCCAAAAAUCUCCUUUGCUGGGAGAAAGGCAAGAGAGAGGAGGAUGCCUCUGUCCCACAGUGCUGACAGGGUUUACUGUCUCGUGGAGAUAAGAAGCUGAAUUCAGUCAGCCCAGGGCUCAUGUCUUUGUCUGGCAGUGUGGCUGAAGGAGCUGGGAAGCUUUUUUAACAAACAAACACUGCCGACACUUCAGAUUUGGGAAAGGAAAGAGGAUUUUCACAAGUCUGAAGAACGCCCCUGUCUUGGCUUGUGCCAGAGGAGAUCCCAAGGGCAGGCUCUGACCUUCUCAGAACAUGCUGAAGCAGCAUGCAUUUCUGCAAGUGCUACAUUCCAGUCCUGUUUCCUGUGCUGCAAAGCUAAACCAAGGCCAGAAUCCCAGCGUUCUCCUAACGGUGGCGCUGAAUCACAGAUAAAUUGAGCUAAUAGAUACAGG